rnacentral:rRNA from 1 species
GAUGAACGCUGGCGGCGUGCCUAAUACAUGCAAGUAGAACGCUGAAGGAAGGAGCUUGCUCUUUCCGGAUGAGUUGCGAACGGGUGAGUAACGCGUAGGUAACCUGCCUGGUAGCGGGGGAUAACUAUUGGAAACGAUAGCUAAUACCGCAUAACAGUAGAUGUUGCAUGAUAUCUACUUAAAAGGUGCAAUUGCACCACUACCAGAUGGACCUGCGUUGUAUUAGCUAGUUGGUGAGGUAACGGCUCACCAAGGCGACGAUACAUAGCCGACCUGAGAGGGUGAUCGGCCACACUGGGACUGAGACACGGCCCAGACUCCUACGGGAGGCAGCAGUAGGGAAUCUUCGGCAAUGGACGGAAGGCUGACCGAGCAACGCCGCGUGAGUGAAGAAGGUUGUCGGAUCGUAAAGCUCUGUUGUAAGAGAAGAACGAGUGUGAGAGUGGAAAGUUCACACUGUGACGGUAUCUUACCAGAAAGGGACGGCUAACUACGUG